rnacentral:lncRNA from 1 species
GGGAGGGAAGGGUCUGGUUACUACGAGCACUUUUUGUUCAUUAAACUUGAGCUGCAAGAACUAAUUUGCCUUUUGGGCAAGCUCUCUGAAUACAAAGCUGCGCCUUGUCCUGUCGGGCACAGGCAGUGCUACCAGCGCUUCAGCAUUGGAGGCUGCAGUGGCAUGGCCUCAGCUGGCAGGCAAAGCUAGGCCUUGCUUUGCCCGGCCUGGUGCAGGAGCUUUGAUUUGACAUGUGGCAGCACAUUUGUAUUGCUAUCACCUCCCUCACCUACUGCUGCUGGCACUGAGGUCGCAGUGAAGCACCUCAUGUUUUAUUGGGAAAAUCCUGCUGCUGCUUUUAAAGGGUUCUGAUGUUUAAAACGAGGCAGCGGUGGAACCUGUUUUAAAUAUGUAACAGUCUCGGAAAGGAGCAGUCUAAUCACUUCAUUAUCCAACACAGAAGAAAAUGGUUUGAAACCCAAACUUGGGAGACGGGGGCUUGGAGGAACCUUCUACAACAAGACAUUGCCAGCAUUAACCCUGGCUCUCUCACCGAGACAUGGACGCUAAUUUAUGGCAGCUGCUGGAUGAUAAACCUAGAGAUGGAAGGAAGAACCCACACAAAGGGAAAUGGAG